rnacentral:rRNA from 1 species
AUUGAACGCUGGCGGCAGGCUUAACACAUGCAAGUCGAGCGGGGGAAGGUAGCUUGCUACCGGACCUAGCGGCGGACGGGUGAGUAAUGCUUAGGAAUCUGCCUAUUAGUGGGGGACAACAUCUCGAAAGGGAUGCUAAUACCGCAUACGUCCUACGGGAGAAAGCAGGGGAUCUUCGGACCUUGCGCUAAUAGAUGAGCCUAAGUCGGAUUAGCUAGUUGGUGGGGUAAGGGCCUACCAAGGCGACGAUCUGUAGCGGGUCGGAGAGGAUGAUCCGCCACACUGGGACUGAGACACGGCCCAGACUCCGACGGGAGGCAGCAGUGGGGAAUAUUGGACAAUGGGGGGAACCCUGAUCCAGCCAUGCCGCGUGUGUGAAGAAGGCCUUAUGGUUGUAAAGCACUUUAAGCGAGGAGGAGGCUACUUUAGUUAAUACCUAGAGAUAGUGGACGUUACUCGCAGAAUAAGCACCGGCUAACUCUGUGCCAGCCGCCGCGGUAA